UCAAAGGUAUGCCAUAUUAGUUAUAAAAAAUAUAUAAAAAAUACAAAAUAUAUUUAUAUACUGUUUUAUUCAUAUUCUCUUUAUAUACCGGCCUUUUUCCUUUUUUCUAAAUUCUGUUUUUAUCCUUGAUGGUCCCAUUCAGUUUUGGACCCAUUACCUCUGUUUACCAUCCAUUCUUAGAUACCCCAACUGGUUCAAUUUUGCCCGACUGAGCAUGGUCGAUGUGUGGGUGUGACCCAUGGUAUUUUAUUCCAUCUCCCAAGGCAAAUGGUCUGAUCGUAUCAGGACGCUGCUGAGCAUUCUCCAAAGUUACUAAAACACCGUUUUUUCGAAGCUCCCGAAGAAGCGACAACGUCGCGAAACAUGUCGAGCUGAAUCCCAAUUUUAUCAAAACUCAUCCUGUAUCACCUCUCGAAGUUACAACGCCACCCAGCGCUCAUUGUGUAAUUCUUACAUCCAGCCCUGUGGCUAUCAGCGGUGUCUUCAGAAAGGGAUAGGAAUUGAGUUCUUUGUGUAUCUUACUGCAUUUUUUGUAUUCUUUUUCUUUCAUUUGAGCAAUUGUUCAGUGUUUUUGUGCUUUUGUACUGCUAAAAUUAAAAUGACUUAUAUAUUUUAAA